rnacentral:lncRNA from 1 species
GUGGAGGCUGGCUACAUUUUCACAACGUCUGGUCCCAAGCUAGAGCUUCGGGAAAAGGGAUCAAGGAAAUGACUAUGCCACUAAAUAAAAUGCACUUUGUCGUAUGGCACAGGGAAGAGCUCUUUCCAGCUGUGUUUGGUUACAUGAAAGCUAAGACAGGAAUCCAGUGAUUGCAACAAAAAUCAUCCAAAAGCAAGAUUUGUCAUACAACUGAAGGCAGCAAGCUGUCGGGCAAGGAGCAAACAAAGCCUGUGGAGGUCAGGAGAUCUGAGAGUUCCAUCAGACUGCCACUGACCAGCUGUGUGCCCGUGUGCACGUAAUUAACAUUGACGAACUUCAGUUUCCCUAAUCCAUCAGAUCGGGGGUAUGCUGAAAAGAUUGCAUACGCACUUUAAGCAUGAGAUUGCUGUAUCCUAUUAUAAUGGAUAUCUUCUGAAAAUUAAUAACUGCAAAGAAAUGAAUCUGCUGGAUGGUGUCCAAGCCGUCAUUUGGAUUUACAGGAACGUAAAUACCACAUUAUAAUUGAGUUCCCAGUAGCUUUUGAGCUCGUGGAGAUUAGGCAAUGGCCGAUGC